rnacentral:rRNA from 1 species
CAGCCGCCGCGGGAAUACAGAGGGUGCGAGCGUUAAUCGGAUUUACUGGGCGUAAAGCGUGCGUAGGCGGCUUCUUAAGUCGGAUGUGAAAUCCCUGAGCUUAACUUAGGAAUUGCAUUCGAUACUGGGAAGCUAGAGUAUGGGAGAGGAUGGUAGAAUUCCAGGUGUAGCGGUGAAAUGCGUAGAGAUCUGGAGGAAUACCGAUGGCGAAGGCAGCCAUCUGGCCUAAUACUGACGCUGAGGUACGAAAGCAUGGGGAGCAAACAGGAUUAGAUACCCGAGUAGUCCCUGUCUCUUAUCC